UAGUUCCCCUCACACCCCACUCACUCAUCCAUCCCCCUCUCUCGCUCCACCGAAGUCUUCUAUUCCUCUUGACGGCCCUCCACUGCACACAACUCUUGGACUCUCUCUCUCUCAAUGGCGGACCCAGAGAACGCCAUGGGGGCAACGACCUUGCGAUAUGCUUUUGGCAAUGUUCUCUCCUUCUUCAUCCUUCUCUUGAUCGGAGUUCUCGCUUUCUCGAUCCGUCUCUUCUCUGUAAGUUCCUCGAUUUCUGUAGAUCCGAUCCUUGUAAUACCAGUCACCUUCGAUAAUUGCUUAUAAUCAGUUUUGGAAAUGGAGGAAAAUGAUGGAUUGAUGCAUUAUUUAGUUUACCUCAUUCAAAGAAACGGUAAACUGAAUAAAACAUUUGAAUUUUGCUUCUAAAUGUUGCUUGACUUAGCAAGGUAGUUAUGUAUCUCCCUUUUUUUAGAUGUUUCAAAGUUGUAAUUAUCUGAAGAUAUAAAAAAUUGCCAUUUAUGUUCUAUUUGCUCAUAAAAUGGAUAAAAAGCAAACAAAACAAUGUGGGCUAACUUUUUGCCUCCUAUUGGAAUGAAAAGGUUGAAUUGACUUAGCUAGACAGUGAGGUAGAAUUUAGUUUUUUUUACCCCAUCUCCAGUUUCAAUUUUCUGGGGGAAUUUAAAUUACCUCGGGUGGCUGUAUGUUUUUUCAGCAAUUGAAGUUACUAUCGUAAUUUAGAUAGGUUGCUUGCAUUGUUAGUUCUUGCUGCCUCACAAGUUUGUUGAUUGAUUUCCAGGUCAUAAAGUACGAGAGUGUUAUUCAUGAGUUUGAUCCUUAUUUCAAUUACAGAGUCACUCAGGUUCACUUUCCCUCGCAGUUAUUGCUGUGCAAAGAUACAAGCACACAUCAAACAUUAUAUUCUAAUUCCAGUGUUAGCUUUGCCUCAUAUUCUAAAAUAAUGAUAUAAAGGAUGACUGGAUUAAUUGUUUCGUGAUUUCAGUUUUUAACAAAGAAUGGGAUAUAUGACUUUUGGAAUUGGUUUGAUGACCGGACCUGGUAAUUGAUAUAUUAUCUGAUUCAUAAACUCCCAUGGAAGAGUCUGUCUCUUAGAUUUUUAUAUGAUUUCUAAGUUGAAUGCUUUUAUUUGAUUCACUCAAGGUAUCCUCUUGGUCGAGUGAUUGGUGGAACUGUUUACCCUGGUUUGACGUUGACUGCAGGCACUCUGUGGUGGAUAUUGAAUUCUUUGAAUGUUCCUUUGUCUGUUGAGACUGUUUGUGUAUUCACUGCACCAAUUUUCUCUGCGUUUGCUUCAUGGGCCACUUAUCUUUUGACCAAGGAAGUUAAAGGUGCUGGCGCUGGUCUGACAGCAGCUGCUCUUUUGGCCAUGGUAAAUCAUACAACGGGUAUUCCUAACUUUAUAUAUCUUUCAGUGUAAUUGUAUCAAGUUCUUUAUUUUUUUAAUCUUUUUUUAAUGAGGCAUAACUUAUUUUUUGGGCCUAGAUUGUGCAAUUGGGGUAGUGGCUAUGUGGACCUAGUUUGGAGUAUCUAACUGGGGUGGAGUCUUGGUGUAAAAUGCAAUAAACAGCCAGAGAUGGAAGCUACUCUUAGUUUGAUUUGUUGUAUGCACAAAGUUGUGCAGUUUCCUUUUUUCUUAAGAAAUGCUCCAAAACAUGAUACAGAUUUGUUAGGAUAGGAUAUUCUUCUGUAUAGUAUCUGCUACAGCUAUGUGAAUGUGAUGUACUGAUGCCCAAUGCACAUAAUAUGAUAAUAUUGAGAAGUUCUCACAUUUGUUUGCAGGUUCCAUCAUAUAUAUCUCGAUCAGUGGCUGGCAGCUAUGAUAAUGAAGCUGUAGCUAUAUUUGCUUUAAUAUUCACUUUCUAUCUUUAUAUAAAGGUUAGUUGCUGGCAAAAGGAACCAAAUUCUCAUUCUUUUAUGAAACACUUAUGUAAGUGAUAAUGAGGUAUGUUCAGUAGUUUUACUUACUGAAGGCAUUUCUCAUAGGCUGUUUAUUGGCUCAGAUAAUUUGUUUCCAUUUUUGAUUCUUCACUGAAUUUUAUUUUGUAUCAUGUGCAGACAUUGAAUACAGGAUCCCUCUUUUAUGCGACUUUAAAUGCCUUGGCAUACUUCUACAUGGUUUGCUCAUGGGGAGGGUACACCUUUAUAAUUAAUCUUAUUCCAAUGCACGUGCUUCUGUGCAUUGUGACUGGUCGUUACUCUUCCAGGCUGUACAUUGCAUAUGCUCCCUUUGUGGUCUUGGGAACGUUACUGGCUGCUUUGGUGCCUGUUGUUGGUUUUAAUGCAGUAAUGACAUCAGAACAUUUUGCUUCAUUUUUGGUUUUCAUUAUCAUCCAUGUGGUGGCUUUUGUGUAUUAUAUUAAAGGGAUUCUCUCUCCAAAAAUGUUUAAAGUAGCUGUUAUGCUUGUUAUAUCUGUUGGCCUGGCAGUCUGUUGUGCUGUGAUGGCAAUUCUAAUAGCACUGGUAGCUUCCAGCCCAACAAAGGGAUGGAGUGGACGAAGUUUAAGUCUGCUUGAUCCAACCUAUGCAAGCAAGUACAUACCAAUUAUCGCCAGUGUUAGUGAACAUCAACCCCCUACAUGGCCAUCUUACUUCAUGGACAUCAAUGUUUUGGCCUUCUUGGUGCCAGCUGGGAUUAUUGCAUGCUUUCUUCCUUUAUCUGAUGCAAGCUCUUUUGUUGUCCUUUACAUUGUGACAUCUGUAUAUUUUUCUGGAGUCAUGGUCCGACUGAUGCUUGUACUUGCUCCGGCAGCAUGUAUCAUGUCUGGAAUUGCCCUUUCUGAAGCUUUUCAUGUUUUCACAAGAUCAAUUAAAUUUCAGCUACCUGGAUUACUGGGGAGCUCCCAAGUUGAUUCAGGGGAUGCUAGUUCAAGUACUGUUGUAGCACAAAAUGGCGCAGGAAAGGUUGAGAAAACUGAAGAUACAGCAAAAGAACGACCUUCAAAAAAGAACAAGAAGAAAGAAAAAGAGAUUGUGGAUAAGCCAUCUCUUAAAACCAAAAUUGAAAAAAGGCUUCUUGUUUUACCUUUGGAGGCAUCAAUCUUUGCUAUUCUUUUACUUGUGUUGCUUGGUGCCUUCUAUGUGGUUCAUUGUGUCUGGGCAGCAGCAGAAGCUUAUUCUGCACCCUCUAUUGUUUUAACAUCUCAUUCACCUGAUGGUGGUCUGCAUGUUUUUGAUGAUUUUAGAGAGGCCUAUGCAUGGUUAAGCCACAAUACUGAGGUGGAUGAUAAAGUUGCAUCAUGGUGGGACUAUGGUUAUCAAACGACUGCUAUGGCUAACCGAACUGUUAUUGUCGACAAUAAUACCUGGAAUAACACACAUAUUGCAACUGUUGGCACUGCCAUGUCUUCUCCUGAAAAGGCAGCCUGGGAAAUAUUUAACUCCUUGGAUGUAAAAUAUGUUCUAGUUGUCUUUGGAGGUCUUGUUGGCUACCCCAGCGACGACAUAAAUAAGUUCCUGUGGAUGGUUCGUAUAGGAGGGGGUGUGUUCCCUCAUAUCAAAGAGCCCGAUUACCUGAGAGAUGGCCACUAUCGGAUUGAUUCUCAGGCUACGCCAACCAUGCUAAAUUGUCUUAUGUACAAACUCUCAUAUUACAGGUUUGUGGAAACUGAUGGUAAAGGUUUUGAUAGAGUAAGGCGAACAGAAAUUGGGAAGAAACAUUUCAAACUUACCCAUUUUGAGGAGGUAUUCACAACUCACCAUUGGAUGGUCCGCAUAUACAAAUUGAAGCCUCCUAAGAACAGAAUCCGAGGAAAGGCCAAAAAGUUAAAAUCGAAAACAAGCACAACUACAAGCACGAAAAGAAGUGGAGCUAAUAAGAGGAAUCCAUGGCAUUAGGUAACUUUUUACAGGUUUAUGUUCUUAGACGACUGUAUUUCAUAUAUAAUUUGUACUCGGGCAUUUGGAGAGGGAUCAUGCUGGCAUAGUUGAUCUUUUUCCUUGUGAGAUGCAAAGGGUCAAAUCAAAGAUUUUGCUUUCUUUUAAAAUGACCUUGUAUUUUCUCUCAACGUUAUGUUGUAACAAACGCUAAUCAUUUUUGGAUUAAUAGCUUUGAAUUUACCGAGCAAUGCAAAAUUAGAUUUUCUUGCAACCGAUAGAUCAAUUGCUUCUAAUAUAUUUUGAUCUGUUUGCCAACUCGAGGCUCAUUUCUAAUAAAAGUUUAUUCCCACAGCGUUCCACCAUUUUAUGUGAAUUUUACUUGAAUCUAUUUCCACAACAUUACUUUAUUUCCAGUUCGAGAAUUCACAUUCAAAGACCACUACCUCUAGUUGAAAGUAUUUCAGAAUCUUGUAGUGGGCAUCUGAAGGAAAAUUUAGUCGCGGCUUCUGAAGCACAAGCUCCCUCUAACAAUGAGAUGGGACUCUCAAAAACAUGGUGUAAUUGUAAAUUUGU
rnacentral:misc_RNA from 1 species